rnacentral:tRNA from 1 species
CCAGGAAAGCUUGGUUUGGAUUCGGAAGUACCACAUUCACAAGGCAGAGGUUAUCGGUUCGAUUCCGGCAGAAUAUU